UACGUAGGUGACCAGCGUUGUCCGGAUUUACUGGGCGUAAAGAGCGCGCAGGCGGUCGUUCAAGUCGAGUGUGAAAGCCCCCGGCUCAACUGGGGAGGGUCACUCGAUACUGAUCGACUUGAAGGCAGGAGAGGGAAGCGGAAUUCCCGGUGUAGUGGUGAAAUGCGUAGAGAUGUGGAGGAAUACCGAUGGCGAAGGCAGCCCCCUGGGAUAACACUGACGCUCAUGCACGAAAGCGUGGGGAGCAAACAGG
rnacentral:rRNA from 1 species